GACGAACGCUGGCGGCGUGCUUAACACAUGCAAGUCGAACGGAAAGGCCCCCUUGUGGGGUACUCGAGUGGCGAACGGGUGAGUAACACGUGAGUAACCUACCCUUGACUUUGGGAUAACUUCAGGAAACUGGGGCUAAUACCGGAUAGGAGCUCCUGCUGCACGGUGGGGGUUGGAAAGUUUCGGCGGUUGGGGAUGGACUCGCGGCUUAUCAGCUUGUUGGUGGGGUAGUGGCUCACCAAGGCUGUGACGGGUAGCCGGCCUGAGAGGGUGACCGGCCACAUUGGGACUGAGAUACGGCCCAGACUCCUACGGGAGGCAGCAGUGGGGAAUAUUGCACAAUGGGCGGAAGCCUGAGGCAGCAACGCCGCGUGCGGGAUGACGGCCUUCGGGUCGUAAACCGCUUUCGCCUGUGACGAAGCGUGAGUGACGGUAAUGGGUAAAGAAGCACCGGCUAACUACGUG
rnacentral:rRNA from 1 species